AGUGAACGCUGGCGGUAGGCCUAACACAUGCAAGUCGAACGGCAGCACAGUAAGAGCUUGCUCUUACGGGUGGCGAGUGGCGGACGGGUGAGGAAUACAUCGGAAUCUACUUUUUCGUGGGGGAUAACGUAGGGAAACUUACGCUAAUACCGCAUACGACCUACGGGUGAAAGCAGGGGAUCUUCGGACCUUGCGCGAUUGAAUGAGCCGAUGUCGGAUUAGCUAGUUGGCGGGGUAAAGGCCCACCAAGGCGACGAUCCGUAGCUGGUCUGAGAGGAUGAUCAGCCACACAGGAACUGAGACACGGUCCAGACUCCUACGGGAGGCAGCAGUGGGGAAUAUUGGACAAAGGGCGCAAGCCUGAUCCAGCCAUACCGUGUGGGUGAAGAAGGCCUUCGGGUUGUAAAGCCCUUUUGUUGGGAAAGAAAAGCAGCAGGUUAAUACCCCGCUGUUCUGACGGUACCCAAAGAAUAAGCACCGGCUAACUUCGUG
rnacentral:rRNA from 1 species